UUUGUUUACUAUUUCUAGUGUUACUAUUAUUAUUAUGUGACAUGCAAAUGGAGGCAAAAAUAUAACAAACAGCUGAUGAUUGAUAAUUGAAGAUUUUGAAAUUUCUUCACUAGGAAAAUUGAAGCUUACAUUUAAACUUAAUAAUAAUUAUUAUUAUAAAGAGUGAGAAUUUUGGUAGACUGAAGAUAUAAAAAGAAGUGAGUUAUAAUAAGAUAGGAUCUAGGGAUUGAAAAAUUGGCAUUCAAGUGUUUAAAUAAAUGCUGGCUAGGCUCCAAAGAUAUUGUGACAUAAAUAUAUGAGAAAGCUAGAGGUU